UUUAUUCCAUCUUAUAUAAUACUUAAUCUAAUAAUAAUUUUUUUUAAGCUUCAUACUUAUCUAAUAAUAUUUAUCUUUCGACGCUUCAUAAAAUAUUGUCAUCUUUUUAAUUUUUAUAAUAUACAUCGUUAUCCAAUUAUAAUAUCUCCUUGCCUAUCAUAUGCGUGAUUAAUCUCCUUCACUACAACAAAAACGGUCUAUAGCGACACUUUUAAAUGUCGGUACAGGUCAAAAAAAAGUGUUGCUGGCUAAAUUGCCGACACUUUUAAAAAGUGUUGCUAU
rnacentral:lncRNA from 1 species